AGUGAACGCUGGCGGUAGGCCUAACACAUGCAAGUCGAACGGCAGCACAGUAAGAGCUUGCUCUUACGGGUGGCGAGUGGCGGACGGGUGAGGAAUACAUCGGAAUCUACUCUUUCGUGGGGGAUAACGUAGGGAAACUUACGCUAAUACCGCAUACGACCUACGGGUGAAAGCAGGGGAUCUUCGGACCUUGCGCGAUUGAAUGAGCCGAUGUCGGAUUAGCUAGUUGGCGGGGUAAAGGCCCACCAAGGCGACGAUCCGUAGCUGGUCUGAGAGGAUGAUCAGCCACACUGGAACUGAGACACGGUCCAGACUCCUACGGGAGGCAGCAGUGGGGAAUAUUAGACAAUAGGCGCAAGCCUGAUCCAGCCAUACCGCGUGGGUGAAGAAGGCCUUCGGGUUGUAAAGCCCUUUUGUUGGGAAAGAAAAGCAGCAGGUUAAUACCCCGCUGUUCUGACGGUACCCAAAGAAUAAGCACCGGCUAACUUCGUG
rnacentral:rRNA from 1 species